rnacentral:rRNA from 1 species
UACGUAGGGGGCUAGCGUUGUCCGGAUUUAUUGGGCGUAAAGAGCGUGUAGGCGGCCAGAUAGGUCUGCUGUGAAAACUCGAGGCUCAACCUCGAGAUGUCGGCGGAAACCAUUUGGCUAGAGUCCGGAAGAGGAAAGUGGAAUUCCUGGUGUAGCGGUGAAAUGCGUAGAUAUCUGGAGGAACAUCAGUGGCGAAGGCGACACCCUGGACUCAUACUGACACUGAGGUGCGAAAGCGUGGGGAGCAAACAGG